UCUCCCCUCCCUGCUCGGUGGUCCAGGCAGCAGCUGGAAAAUGCUGUCUGCAGAGUUUGGAGUCUGUCUGGGUUCUCUUUCAGGGACCAAAGGGUCUUGAUCCGGCCGUGCUCCUCCUCCUCCAGAAACCCCCUCCCCCGUCAAUGGGGUGGGCGUGGAGUUGGGCAACUUCGCAAGGGAGCCCAAAGGGGAGGAAGCCGAAGGCAGCGCCGUCACGUCCGGCUCCCAUGCGAAAAGAGGAAGGGACUUCUCCCAGGAAGGGGUCACUCUGUGGGUCGGAAGUUAGCAGGAAGUGGGGAGGGGGGCAGAAGGACCCCCUGGAGAAGCGAGAGGUUUCAGAAAGGUAAAGAGGGGCGCCAGUCGACCACGGACCCCCCUUCUCCGCUUUAUAUUGCAGAAAGGAAAUCGGAAUAGCUACGAAGGGAGGCGGAUGGUCAGAGGAGAAAGAGGGAAGCUGCUGCCUCGGAUGCUGGGAGCUCCAGAGCUCCAGACCCUUUGAUCUGCAUUCUUCCAAGCCAGACCAUUGGUCCAUUGGGAGAGGAGAGCAGAGGGGCACUUGAAGGAGUCCGUGUCAGGAUAAAAAGGUUAUGGAGAAGACAGUGUGUCAUCUGUAAUUUCAUUUGGAAAUACGAAGAGGACCAUUUAAAUGUGGUGAAUGUGGAAUGUGCUUCAGUCAAUGUGCACAGUUAAUAAACUCACAGAGUGGGGGAAGCCGUUUAAAGGUAAUGGAGUGUGGAAAGAGCUUCAGACAAACUUCAUCUCUUACUUUACAUCGUCUAACUCACAUGAGUGAGAAACCCUACAAAUGUAUGCAGUGUGGAUGGAGAUUCAGUAUGAGUAGACAACUUAUUGUACAUCAAAGGAUUCACGCAACAGAAAAACCAUUUAAAUGUAUAGAGUGUGGAAAGAGCUUCUGUCAUAGCAUAACGCUAAGCAACCAUCAACGGAC